rnacentral:rRNA from 1 species
GAUGAACGCUGGCGGCGUGCCUAAUACAUGCAAGUCGAGCGAACGGACGAGGCUUUCGCUUCUCUGCUGUUAGCGGCGGAUGGGUGAGUAACACGUGGAUACCCUACCUAUAAGACUGGGAUCCCUUCGGGAGAGCGGAUCUAACAUCCGACCAUAUUUUGAACCGCAGGGAUCAUCAGUCAACGCCCGACUUGCUGACCCUAAUAGAUGGUACCGCGCUGCAUUAGCUAGUUGGUACGGUAACGGCUUACCAAGGCUACGAUGCGUAGCUGACCUGAGAGGAUGAUCAGUCACACUGGAACUGAGACACGGUCCAGACUCCUACGGGAGGCAGCAGUGGGGAAUCUUGCGCAAUGGGCGAAAGCCUGACGGAGCAACGCCGCGUGUGUGAAGAAGGUCUUCGGAUCGUAAAGCUCUGUUAGUAGGGAAGAACAGAAGUAUGAUUAACUGUGCACGUCUUGACGGUACCAAAAGAGUAAGCCACGGCUAACUACGUG